AAUGAACGCUGGCGGUAUGCCUAACACGUGCAAGUCGAACGGCAGCACAGUAAGAGCUUUCUCUUACGGUUGGCGAGUGGCGGACGGGUGAGGAAUACAUCGGAAUCUACUUUUUCGUGGGGGAUAACGUAGGGAAACUUACGCUAAUACCGCAUACGACCUACGGGUUAAAUCAGAAGAUCUUCGGACCUUGCGCGAUUGAAUUAGCCGAUGUCGGAUUAGCUAGUUGGCUGGGUAAAGGCCCACCAAGGCCACGAUCCGUAGCCGGGCUGAGAGGAUGAUCAGCCACACUGGAACUGAGACACGGUCCAGACUCCUACGGGAGGCAGCAGUGGGGAAUAUUGGGCAAUGGGCGAAAGCCUGAUCCAGCAAUACCGCGUGGGUGAAGAAGGCCUUCGGGUUGUAAAGCCCUUUUAUUGGGAAAGAAAAGCAGCAGGUUAAUACCCCGCUGUUCUGACGGUACCUAAAGAAUAAGCAACGGCUAACUUCGUG
rnacentral:rRNA from 1 species